AAUAUUGCACAAUGGAGGGAAAUCUGAUACAGCACCGCCUCGUGAGUGAAGAAGGUUUUCGGAGAGUAAAACUUUGUCAUUGGGGAAAAAUAAAUGACGGUACCCACUGAGGAAUCCGCGGCUAAUCACUUGCCAGCAGCCGCGGUAAUACGUAGGGGGCGAGCGUUGUCCGGAAUUACUGGGCGUAAAGGGUACGUAGGCGGCUAUAUAAGUCAGGUGUGAAAUACCAGUGCUUAACACUGGAAUUGCAUUUGAAACUGUGUAGCUUGAGUGCAGGAGAGGAAAGUGGAAUUCCUAGUGUAGCGGUGAAAUGCGUAGAGAUUAGGAGGAACACCAGUGGCGAAGGCGACUUUCUGGACUGUAACUGACGCUGAGGUACGAAAGCGUGGGUAGCGAACA
rnacentral:rRNA from 1 species